UAUGAUCGAGGGGAAACAAUGCUGUGAUAUCACUUCCUGUCAUCUCAAUUUUGUAGACAAGUGUUCUGUUGAUCUUCUCCGCUGAAAGGAAGAGAGAUCACCAUGAUCAUUCUACUCUUUUUAUCUCCUGCCAUAUUGUCUGGUUUGGUUGCAUGUCAUCAGGUUGAGCAGUCCCCUCCUCAUCUACUGAAGAAUCGCACAGAAUCUGCUAAACUCUCCUGUUCGCACUCAGUCAAAGAGUUUGAACACAUACUUUGGUUUAAGCAGUCCAAAGAUGGGAAAUUCAUUUAUCUUGGAUACCUCAACCUCAAAAAUCCUUAUCCAGAAGAUGAAUAUAAAGGCAUAAUUCAGCUUGAUGGGAAUGGAAACAGUGCUUCCACGCUCACCAUUAACAAUCUAACACCAAAAGACAAUGCUGUUUAUUUCUGCGCAGCACGGAGACACAGUGUCUCAAGUCUCAUCCUUCCUGCACAAAAACAUACAGCUCAGUAAGAAUGUACAUGAGAGCAGUGCCUCUUACACACCUGCAACAAACCACUCAAAUAUCAGAUGCUGUGAAACACAUGCUCUUGUCUUUAGUCUGUACUAUCUUUCCUACA